AACGAACGCUGGCGGCAGGCUUAACACAUGCGAGUCGAGCGCCCCGCAAGGGGAGCGGCAGACGGGUGAGUAACGCGUGGGAACGUACCCUUUGCUACGGAAUAGCCCCGGGAAACUGGGAGUAAUACCGUAUGUGCCCUUUGGGGGAAAGAUUUAUCGGCAAAGGAUCGGCCCGCGUUGGAUUAGGUAGUUGGUGGGGUAAUGGCCUACCAAGCCGACGAUCCAUAGCUGGUUUGAGAGGAUGAUCAGCCACACUGGGACUGAGACACGGCCCAGACUCCUACGGGAGGCAGCAGUGGGGAAUCUUAGACAAUGGGCGCAAGCCUGAUCUAGCCAUGCCGCGUGAGCGAUGAAGGCCUUAGGGUUGUAAAGCUCUUUCAGUGGGGAAGAUAAUGACGGUACCCACAGAAGAAGCCCCGGCUAACUCCGUGCCAGCAGCCGCGGUAACAC
rnacentral:rRNA from 1 species